AUUGGAGCACCGGUGAAACCCCAAGGAGGUCAUCUAGGAUUCGUGAGAAAGUGAAGACUGUGGUGCAACCAGAACCUCAACCCCCGAAGAAGCGAACUAGGAAGUCAGUAGGCUUGAAGAAGCAUGACACCGAAUCUCCUGAAGAAAACAAGAAGGAUACUGAUGUUGUGAUGCCAGAUGUGGAAGAUGCCACCAAAGAAAAUGUUGUAGAUGCUAAAGAUGUUACUGCUGAAAAUGAUCAAGCUGUGAAAGUAGUAG
rnacentral:misc_RNA from 1 species